rnacentral:rRNA from 1 species
AGAGUUUGAUCAUGGCUCAGGACGAACGCUGGCGGCGUGCUUAACACAUGCAAGUGGUGCGACGAACCAGGGCUUGCCCUGGGGCAAAGCCGCGAACGGGUGAGUAACACGUGAGUAAUCUGCCCCGAUGACUGGGACAACCCGAGGAAACUCGGGCUAAUACCGGAUGAUGAGCCAAGGCGUAAGCCCUGUCUCUAAAGGAAGCUUCGGCCUCCGCAUUGGGAGGAGCUCGCGGCCCAUUAGCUUGUUGGUGAGGUAACGGCUCACCAAGGCGACGAUGGGUAGCUGGUCUGAGAGGACGAUCAGCCACACUGGGACUGAGACACGGCCCAGACUCCUACGGGAGGCAGCAGUGGGGAAUCUUGCGCAAUGCGCGAAAGCGUGACGCAGCAACGCCGCGUGGGGGAAGACGGCCUUAGGGUUGUAAACCCCUUUCAGGAGGGACGAAGGUUCACCGGUGAAUAGCCGUGUGGAUUGACGGUACCUCCACAAGAAGCACCGGCUAACUACGUGCCAGCAGCCGCGGUAAUACGUAGGGUGCAAGCGUUGUCCGGAAUCAUUGGGCGUAAAGCGCGCGUAGGUGGUCAUGUAAGUCCGCUGUGAAAGUCAAAGGCUCAACCUUUGAAAGCCGGUGGAUACUGCAUGACUAGAGUACGGAAGAGGCGAGUGGAAUUCCUGGUGUAGCGGUGGAAUGCGCAGAUAUCAGGAGGAACACCAAUAGCGAAGGCAGCUCGCUGGGACGUUACUGACACUGAGGCGCGAAAGCGUGGGGAGCGAACAGGAUUAGAUACCCUAGUAGUCC